CAGGAAGACCUGAGUUUAGUAUUUAACGCAGGAUGACUACGUGUUCAAAGAUAAGUCUCUAAGCUCCAGGCAUGGAGAAGGUGCCAAUCUACAUUGGUAGAGGGAACUUCUUCAUUGGAAGUUCCUUAUACCAAUGAAAGCAAAGGUCUAGACAUAAGUAAAGGAGAGAAGAAAUGAUAAAUCAAGUUUUAGUAGCCCAUUUGUUUAAUGAGACCCAAAGAGUUAGCUAGCAGAUUUUAUUUUUUUUUUCAGCUAUAGCAAUUUUCAAGACUGACUGUUAACACAUAGUAGGGGAUUUAUAAAAUGCUUAUUGACAAAUUGAUACCAAAAUGCAGCUGUUAUUGUGAAUUGCUUCAAAGGGGAAUACAUACAACAAAAUAAUGAAUCUUUAAAUUAUUGGAACUCAAAACAGAAUUACAGGACAAAGUUGGAGUGGUGGAAGUGGUGGUGAGAGGGCUCCUCUAGAAUCCAACAGUUCACAUUAGAUUAACAUCAAAAAUAUUCUUUAAAAUCUCAAAGCUCUUCUUGUAUUCAAAAGACAGACAUCCAGUAACAUCAUAUAAACUUCACAAGUAAGCAAAAAAUUUCUAAGCAAUGAGGAAAACAGUUGUAACAAAGCCUAAUGCAUUUGGUCAGGGGCUGUUGACUGGGUCCUUUGUGUGAAAUUAGCCUGAUUUAACAGUCUCAGUUAUCUGCUUUUACCCUGGGCAACUUUCAGAUUAUCAUGGAGAUUCAAAGAGAUAACAGAUUAUGAAGCAGAGAGGGCAUUGCCUCAAAAUAGGCAUAAUGACAGCAAAGAGAAAGGGGAGCUAGCAUCAAGAGAAGAAAAAGCAAAAAAAAAAAAAAAAAGAAUUUACUAAACAAAUUGACAAAUUAUAAUAUCAAAUUUAUGAUGACAGCAGUUUAUCAAUGCUUCUUGUUUCAUUAGCUGUUUUAGCUAACAUAAUACACUAGGAAUACAUGAACACAUGUAUUGAAUGAGUCUGCUUUAGUUUGAAUAACCAACAAACAAUGAUAAAGGGGGCAGAGACAAAGCAUUUGCAAUUUUAGCUGAUGUCUUCAUUAGAUUUUAAGGCAGAUGCGUAAAAGUGGAACAGAACUUCUACAAGCAUUUAUCCUGUGAUGUUGUAAAAUCAAAGUACUACUUUAUUAAAUGAGUUAUUUUACACAAUAUGAACAUCAAUAUAAUUACAAUUGUAAAAAAAUUUUCAUAACAAGGAUGGACUGAUUUUCAGGAUUUCCAAUCAGGGCCCAACUGUACAUUUACACAGAAUUGUCUUUGCAUGAAGCC
rnacentral:lncRNA from 1 species